AUGAAUUGCAUUAGUUGGAACUGCCGGGGGCUUGGGAACCCCGAGGCAGUUUGAGAGCUUCGCAGCAUUGUGUAGCUGGAAGGACCCACUCUCCCGUUUGUCAUGGAAACAAAAAUUAAAGGGAAGAGAGUUGAAGCUUUGCAGAAUCAUCUAGGCUUUGGCGGAUGUUUUGCUGUUGAUAGCAUUGGGGUAAGUGGUGGCAUUGGCCUUUUUUGGACUAGAGAUGUAAUUGUCGAAUUAAAGAAUUUUAGUUCUGGACAUAUAGACGUGAUGGUGAAAUAUAAGGACCAAGACUCUUUUGAGUGGAGGUUCACUGGUUUUUACGGAGCGCCCAGAGUCGAGGAUCGACAUCAUAGCUGGCGUUUUUUGCGUACUUUGUAUGCCUUGCCGCAUUCGGCUUGGAUUUGUGUGGGUGAUUUUAAUGAAACUCUUUAUGCAUGUGAACAUUUCAACAGAUCAGCGCGGCCAGGGAGCCAGAUGAGAGCUUUCAGGGAAGUCACCGACGAAGUAGCCUUCCAAGAUUUUGGAUGGUCUAGUACAUCUUAUACCUGGGACAAUCGUCAGUCAGGUGCAGCGAACGUUAAGGCAAGGCUAGAUAGAGCUUUUGCCAAUGAGGAGUUCUGGCAACAUUUUCAGCAUAUCAGAAUUAGGCAUCUACCUUUCGAUAGAAUCUGA
rnacentral:rRNA from 1 species